rnacentral:rRNA from 1 species
GACGUAGGGUGCGAGCGUUGUCCGGAUUUAUUGGGCGUAAAGAGCUCGUAGGCGGCUCGUCGCGUCGACCGUGAAAACUUGGGGCUUAACCCUAAGCUUGCGGUUGAUACGGGCGGGCUAGAGUUCGGUAGGGGAGACUGGAAUUCCUGGUGUAGCGGUGAAAUGCGCAGAUAUCCGGAGGAAUACCGGUGGCGAAGGCGGCAUCCUGGACCGACAUUGACGCUGAACGGCGAAAGCUAGGGGAGCAAACGGG